UAGUUUUUAAUUAUAUUUACUAGGGAGAACCACAUUUUAAUAAAUGUGUUGAAUGGGAAAUGAAUUGCAGUUCAUUCACUCUUGCAUGUGAUCUGCUUUUAUCUGCCCUUCCUAAGUCUCAAACUAUAUUAGUAGUUGGGACAGAUCAGUUGUCCAUUUUCUUACAUUCAUAUCACCAACUAUGGCUGGACGUGAAGUUCUCCUCCUCUCCCUCCUCAUCAUCAUCACCAUCUCUGUCGUUGCAUUCGCCGACCGUGAACCACACUGCGUCUACACAUUCUACAUCGAAACCGGACCGGUGGACGGUGCCGGCACAGAUUCGAUCAUAAGCGUUAAAAUCUCCGACAAAUCUGGACAGAACAUUGAUAUCCAAGACAUAGUGACAUGGGGUGGGUUAAUGGGACCAAGUUACGACUACUUCGAGAAAGGCAGUUUGGACAUUUUCAGUGGUAAGGCGCAGUGUCUUCCAAGCCCGGUUUGUUCACUGAGUCUGACCUCUGACGGCUCCGGCGUUUACCCCGCCUGGUAUGUUAACUACGUGGAUCUCACAACGGUCAGUGUUCAUGUAAAGAGUGCACAUCAAUACUUCGAUGUGGAGCAAUGGCUUGCGACCGAUACGCCUCCAUAUAAUCUCACUGUCGUACGGAACAACUGCCAGGUUUCUCCUAUGGAGAGUACUAUCGGUCGGGUCGGGUAGGCUCUGAGAUCCGGAAGAGUCUCUCCUAGGAUCGUGUUGUAAAUCAAUGUCUGGGAGAUUUGUGUUGAAGUGUGGUUGCAAUAAUGUAAACGAUCCGAUCGAAUAAAACUGUCGUCUAUGAACAUUUGAUAGAGUAAUGUAAAAUGAACUGAUCGAAUAAAAUCAUAUAUAUGAACGUGUGAUUGCAAUAAGAAGAGUCAAUGUCUUCAUCUAAUGUUUUAAUCUGUUCAUCUUU